rnacentral:tRNA from 2 species
GGGCGCUUGGUCUAGGGGUAUGAUUUUCGUUUCGCAACUCAUCAAGAGAGCAGAUUACGAAAGGUCGUGGGUUCAAUUCCCACAGCGUCCA